GAUGAAGAACGUAGCGAAUGCGAUAAGUAAUGUGAAUUGCAGAAUUCAGUGAAUCAUCGAAUCUUUGAACGCACAUUGCGCCCGCCAGUAUUCUGGCGGGCAUGCCUGUUCGAGCGUCAUUUCAACCCUCAGGCCCCCAGUGCCUGGUGUUGGGGAUCGGCCCAGCCUUCCUGUAAGGCCGCCGGCCCCGAAAUCUAGUGGCGGUCUCGCUGUAGUCCUCCUCUGCGUAGUAGCACAACCUCGCAGUUGGAACGCGGCGGUGGCCAUGCCGUUAAACACCCCACUUCUGAAAGUUGACCUCGGAUCAGGUAGGAAUACCCGCUGAACUUAAGCAUAUCAAUAAGCGGAGGA
rnacentral:misc_RNA from 1 species